rnacentral:rRNA from 1 species
CCUACGGGAGGCAGCAGUGGGGAAUAUUGGGCAAUGGGCGAAAGCCUGACCCAGCCACGCCGCAUGAGUGAUGAAGGCCUUCGGGUCGUAAAGCUCUGUGGGGAGGGACGAACAAGCUGGGCGCUAAUCACCCCGGUCCUGACGGUACCUCCUUAGCAAGCACCGGCUAACCCUGUGCCAGCAGCCGCGGUAAUACAGGGGGUGCAAACGUUGCUCGGAAUUAUUGGGCGUAAAGCGCGCGUAGGCGGCCACUUAAGUCGGAUGUGAAAGCCCCUGGCUCAACUGGGGAAGUGCACCCGAAACUGAAUGGCUUGAAUGCAAAAGAGGGUCGCGGAAUUCCCGGUGUAGAGGUGAAAUUCGUAGAUAUCGGGAGGAACACCGGUGGCGAAGGCGGCGACCUGGGUUGACAUUGACGCUGAGGCGCGAAAGCGUGGGGAGCAAACAGGAUUAGAUACCCUGGUAGUCCACGCCGUAAACGAUGGGUGCUAGAUGUUUCUGGUAUUGACCCCGGAGGCGUCGUAGCUAACGCGUUAAGCACCCCGCCUGGGAAGUACGGCCGCAAGGCUAAAACUCAAAGGAAUUGACGG